GUGCUCGCUUCGGCAGCACAUAUACUGAAAUUGAAACAUACAGAGAAGAUUAGCAUGGCCCCUGCGUCAAAGAUGACACGCAAAUUCAUCCGUUCCAUAUAUUUUUU